UACAGAGGGUGCGAGCGUUGUUCGGAAUUAUUGGGCGUAAAGGGCGCGUAGGCGGUGCGGUAAGUCACCUGUGAAAUCUCCUGGCUCAACUGGGAGUCUGCAGGCGAAACUGCCGUGCUGGAGUAUGGGAGAGGUGCGUGGAAUUCCUGGUGUAGCGGCGAAAUGCGUAGAUAUCAGGAGGAACACCUGUGGCGAAAGCGGCGCACUGGACCAUAACUGACGCUGAGGCGCGAAAGCUAGGGGGAGCAAACAGG
rnacentral:rRNA from 1 species